rnacentral:lncRNA from 1 species
AGCUCUCGCACUACACCGGGUGGAUGCUCCACUCCCACGCCGUGCGGCACGCCGCCCGCGCCGUCGAGUGGCACCUCUCCGACCACACCGGGUGGAAGCUACUACCCGCCCACGCCGUCCAUUGGCGACGUGCCACCCUCGCCGUCCAGCGACACCUCUCCGACCACACCGGGCGGAGGCUCCCCGUCCACGCCAUGCGACACGCCGCCCUCGCCGUCCAGUGGCACGUCCCCGACCACGCCAGGUGGAGGCUACUACCCGCCCACGCCAUCCGUCGGCGACGUGCCUCCCUCGCCGGCCAGUGGCACCUCCCCAUCCACGCCAGGUAGUGGAGGCUACUCUCCGUCCACGCCAUGCAGUGCGCCGCCGUCGCCUUCAAGUGGCACCUCCCCAACCACGCCGGGUGGAGGCUAUUCUCCUUCCACGCCGUGCAAUGCGCCGCCCUCCCCUUCAAGUGACACCUCCCCGACAACACCUGGUGGCGGCAACUACCCGCCCGCGCCCACCAUUGGCAACGUCCCGCCAUCGCCAUCCAGCGGCACCUCCCCGAGCACACCGGGUGGUGGCUGCUCAUCCUCACCCACGCCAUGCGACGCGCCGCCCUCGCCAUCCAGUGACACUUCCCCGACAACACCGGGUGGAGGGUACUACCCGCCCACGCCGUCCAUCGGCACCUCGCCAUCCACACCGGGCACCGGCGGAGGCUACUACCCUCCCUCCCCUUCCACCGGCGGCUACACGCCGACUCCGGACGUUCCGAUCAGCACCCCGUCGAGCCCCUACUCCCCGCUGG